UUGCGAACGGGUGAGUAACGCGUAGGUAACCUGCCUUGUAGCGGGGGAUAACUAUUGGAAACGAUAGCUAAUACCGCAUAACAAUAGGUGACACAUGUCAUUUAUUUGAAAGGGGCAAUUGCUCCACUACAAGAUGGACCUGCGUUGUAUUAGCUAGUAGGUGAGGUAACGGCUCACCUAGGCGACGAUACAUAGCCGACCUGAGAGGGUGAUCGGCCACACUGGGACUGAGACACAGCCCAGACUCCUACGGGAGGCAGCAGUAGGGAAUCUUCGGCAAUGGGGGCAACCCUGACCGAGCAACGCCGCGUGAGUGAAGAAGGUUUUCGGAUCGUAAAGCUCUGUUGUAAGUCAAGAACGAGUGUGAGAGUGGAAAGUUCACACUGUGACGGUAGCUUACCAGAAAGGGACGGCUAACUACGUGCCAGCAGCCGCGGUAAUACGUAGGUCCCGAGCGUUGUCCGGAUUUAUUGGGCGUAAAGCGAGCGCAGGCGGUUUGAUAAGUCUGAAGUUAAAGGCUGUGGCUCAACCAUAGUUCGCUUUGGAAACUGUCAAACUUGAGUGCAGAAGGGGAGAGUGGAAUUCCAUGUGUAGCGGUGAAAUGCGUAGAUAUAUGGAGGAACACCGGU
rnacentral:rRNA from 1 species